CAGUCGCCGCGGUAAUGCGUAGGUGGCAAGCGUUGUCCGGAAUUAUUGGGCGUAAAGGGCUCGCAGGCGGUUUCUUAAGUCUGAUGUGAAAGCCUCCGGCUCAACCGGGGAGGGUCAUUGGAAACUGGGAAACUUGAGUGCAGAAGAGGAGAGUGGAAUUCCACGUGUAGCGGUGAAAUGCGUAGAGAUGUGGAGGAACACCAGUGGCGAAGGCGACUCUCUGGUCUGUAACUGACGCUGAGGAGCGAAAGCGUGGGGAGCGAACAGGAUUAGAUACCCCUGUAGUCCCUGUCUCUUAUAC
rnacentral:rRNA from 1 species